rnacentral:rRNA from 1 species
AGUGGCGAACGGGUGAGUAAAGCAUCGGAACGUGCCCAGUAGUGGGGGAUAGCCCGGCGAAAGCCGGAUUAAUACCGCAUACGACCUAAGGGUGAAAGGGGGGGAUCGCAAGACCUCUCGCUAUUGGAGCGGCCGAUGUCAGAUUAGCUAGUUGGUGGGGUAAAGGCCUACCAAGGCGACGAUCUGUAGCUGGUCUGAGAGGACGACCAGCCACACUGGGACUGAGACACGGCCCAGACUCCUACGGGAGGCAGCAGUGGGGAAUUUUGGACAAUGGACGAAAGUCUGAUCCAGCCAUGCCGCGUGCGGGAAGAAGGCCUUCGGGUUGUAAACCGCUUUUGCCAGGGAAGAAAUCUUCUGGGUUAAUAACUCGGGAGGAUGACGGUACCUGAAGAAUAAGCACCGGCUAACUACGUGCCAGCAGCCGCGGUAAUACGUAGGGUGCAAGCGUUAAUCGGAAUUACUGGGCGUAAAGCGUGCGCAGGCGGUUAUGCAAGACAGAUGUGAAAUCCCCGGGCUCAACCUGGGAACUGCAUUUGUGACUGCAUAGCUGGAGUGCGGCAGAGGGGGAUGGAAUUCCGCGUGUAGCGGUGAAAUGCGUAGAUAUGCGGAGGAACACCGAUGGCGAAGGCAAUCCCC